AACUAAUCUCAAGGGAUAUUAUUAACUUGGCUGAGAGGUCUAGCAAAUUUUCAGACUCUUGGAAAGCAAGAGAAAAGGUAUGUUCAGAGAAAAAUAGAUUACUUUUGCUUUAUAGAAAACAUAUAACACACGUAAAUUCUCUAUUAAUAGCUGACCAGUGGUGGUGACAACGUCGCAAGGAUGGAAGAGAACGUCAAGCAGAGCUACCCACAGCAACAACCAAUAGAGCUUACGUGGACUCCACGACAGGGGCUCUGUGUACGCUGGAGGAGCAGAGCCUAGUAGCUGCCCCACACACAGAGCUAGGUGCCACACAGGUCCCCGACUGGGGCUGCCUGCCUGCGAACACCCUGGAGAGCUGUGAAGUUAGGGCAGGAUGGAGACAGCAGGAGAGGCAAACCCAUCUGGGAAGAGCCUCACAGAUGAUCGCAGCUCUCAGACACCAUCCAAAAAAUUUCCUUAUGCACCGUGUGGCAGUUGAGGCAGAAACUCGCGAGUGGUCCAGGACAGAAAACACGUCUGUGAGAUGCUCAGCCAUGUAGGGGACAUUGACACCACGCUCCCCCACCACGGCUCUGGAGUCAUCAUGGAGGAAGGGGGAGGAAGACCGUGAGAGUCACAGAUCAGGAGGACUGGAAUCCGACAGCGUCUCUCGGCGAGACAGGCCUGUAGUACUCAUGAGCACACAGCGGCUGUGAGAACAGGAUCAAGCCAGUCAACACAUCGGCAUGGAGAGGUUAGGGCACCCUGAUCCCCCAGCCUAAGCUAAGGAGACAUUUACCGUAGUAGCGGCUGGGGCAGGAAGACAAACUUUUUUCAAGAAUGUGGACCCUUGUAGGUUAGACACUCCAGGGGAUGACCCCACACUUAUGAGCACAUGGGGGCAUGAAUUGGACUUAGUGGGCCACAGAAAAAGAAAAGAGGACAUGCUGCUGGGAGGGGUUUGGAGAUGGGUCUGGGAAGAGUCACUGGGGAGGGAGAACGAGUGUGAAGAAAAUAUCCUGUACGCAUGUUUGAAAUUCUCAGUCUCUUUCUGCUGAGUAGUCAAACCGAAGCCCAAAGCUGCUUUUAGAAUACAGGAGGCAUCGUGUGCGUGUGGGGGAGUUUUUAAUUUUGUUUCUAAUGUUAUUGUUGUCUUUUCACAAAGACUAAAAUUCUCAGGCCGAAUGGCCCUUCACAGAGCCCUCUAAGACCAUCCGAAGGCAUAGAUGUGUGCAUUGUGAUUCAUAACCUUAGCAAAAUUACAGUUAUGAAGUAGCGCCAAAAACAAUUUUACGGUUGGGGUAACUCCAACAUGAGGAACUAUAUCAAGGGGUCGCGGCACUAGAAGGGCUGAGAACCACUGCCUACAUACGCUUACAUUAUCCUGCUAAUUACACUGCUUUCUCUGCUGUUGACCUUUACCCCCCAUUUCCCCUCCUUGCUUAUUUAGAAAUUAAUCUCCAUCAUGAAUAUGCAUGCACAGGAAGAUCAGCGCUUCUAUAACUCCUCCUGGCUUUCCACGCCGGGCACGGGGCCUUGGGAUGCUUCGGCGUGGACAUUGUGGGCCUGCUGUGUUUCUUCUCCUUUUUUCCUCCCUUGACACUCUGUCAGGCUGUGUCUCUCUAGCUGUCUUCAGUGACAGGAUUCUCAUCCUGCAGCCUCAAAGCAGCAAGUCUACCGCACGGUGCUGCUCAGGAGCGCUCUUCUACGCCUCUGAUGACUGAGCUUGCCCUUCCAGUUUCCAACCCCCACACUUUGUGUAAGGAGACUCUUUGGUACCCAAAUUCCCCUCCAAGUCCCCAACUUUUAAUGGGCCACCUAAGGCACAGAGAACAUGGUAGAUAACAGAGUGGGCUGGUAGAGGCCCUGGGGUGAGUACUCCAUGCUUCGGCUUCUCCACCGCUCUCUGCCACAUUCACACAGUGUCCAGCUUCCCAGUCGCAGACAGACUCCAUGGGAUCCAUCACCACUUCUGUUGGUCAUUGAGAUAUUCCAGGUGCUCAGAAUUUCUUGUGGGCAGAGGCGUCGAUGUCACCAAAAUAAAACAAACAGCGCCAGACUAAA